UUUCUGUCAGCUCAAACAGGGUAUAUACAGAAAUCCUGGGAGGUAAAUUCAAUACCUUUUAAUACCAUUUUUAAUACCUUCUCAAUAUUUUUUUAAACCAACACGCCAUUGAGUUGCAGGUUUAUACGGCAACACGUUU